UAGGGAAUAUUGCGCAAUGGGGGAAACCCUGACGCAGCAACGCCGCGUGAGUGAUGAAGGAUUUCGGUUCGUAAAGCUCUGUUGCAGGGGAAAAACAAAAUGAUGGUACCCUGUGAGGAAGGGACGGCAAACUUCGUGCCAGCAGCCGCGGUAAUACGAAGGUCCCUAGCGUUGUUCGGAAUUAUUGGGCGUAAAGCGCAGGUAGGUGGCUUUGCAAGUCAGGUGUGAAAGCCUGGGGCUUAACCCCAGAAGUGCACUUGAAACUGCUUAGCUUGAGUACGGGAGAGGUGAGUGGAAUUCCUGGUGUAGUGGUGAAAUACGUAGAUAUCAGGAGGAACACCGGUGGCGAAGGCGGCUCACUGGCCCAGUACUGACACUGAGCUGCGAAAGCAUGGGGAUCAAACAGGAUUAGAUACCCCCGUAGUCC
rnacentral:rRNA from 1 species